rnacentral:lncRNA from 1 species
CUCCAUUAAAUUUUAGAUGUAUGGACCACAAAAUAUACAUGAUUGGAAAAGUAUGGUAGACAGAUAGCUGAGAGAUCCAUGCAGUCAGUUUCUUUAACUUUUCUGAUUGUUUAGAAUUAAUCAUACCUUUUUAAAGCUCGGAGUUUCUGCGUGUCUUUGCUGGUCCCUUACUAAGCUCUCUUACUGAGCUAAAUGCUCAGUUGAGCUUACUAAAGUUCUGAGUAUUACUUUAUAAAUUAUGCCACAUUAUUUUUGUGCUUGAAGAUAUACAGUCUUUAGGAAUGUACAUUUAACUCUUAAUUUCUGUAUUUUUUGUGACUUAUCGGUCAUUAGUUUAAUAAAUAAUUGAUAAUAAUUCUGGAAUUAAUGGAAUUUUCCCCCUAAUCUUA